CGUGUAGGCGGUCCGGUAAGUCGGCUGUGAAAGUCCAGGGUUCAACCCUGGGAUGCCGGUCGAUACUGCCGGACUAGAGUUCGGAAGAGGCGAGUGGAAUUCCCGGUGUAGCGGUGAAAUGCGCAGAUAUCGGGAGGAACACCUAUGGCGAAGGCAGCUCGCUGGGACGUUACUGACGCUGAGACGCGAAAGCGUGGGGAGCAAACA
rnacentral:rRNA from 1 species